UACGUAGGGGGCGAGCGUUGUCCGGAGUUACUGGGCGUAAAGCGCACGCAGGCGGUCUGCUAAGUUUGGAGUGACAGUUGGUGGCUUAACUGCCAAAGUGCUUCGAAAACUGACAGACUUGAGGGCUUCAGAGGGACACGGAAUUCCGGGUGGAGUGGUGAAAUGCGUAGAGAUCGGGAAGAACACCAGUGGCGAAGGCGGCCGGCUGGGGGCGCCCUGACGCUGAGGCGCGAGAGCGUGGGGAGCAAACCGG
rnacentral:rRNA from 1 species